rnacentral:sRNA from 1 species
GGGAAUUGAACGGAGGUUUUCCAUUUAUUCACAGAACAAGUACUGUACUCCCCGCUGCAGUGCAAGCUUGCCCACAGUAUUCAGCCAGUGUGCUUACACCCUGACCUGGAGGGACCACGCUAAGGGUGAGCGUGCUAUUUGGUCUCCAUGCUCAUUCAAUCUCGAUUCAGU